UACGUAGGGGGCAAGCGUUGUCCGGAAUUAUUGGGCGUAAAGAGCGCGUAGGCGGUCCGAUAAGUCGGCUGUGAAAGUCAGGGGCUCAACCCUGGAACGCCGGUGGAUACUGUCGAGCUCGAGUCCGGAAGAGGCGAGUGGAAUUCCUGGUGUAGCGGUGAAAUGCGCAGAUAUCAGGAGGAACACCCGUGGCGAAAGCGGCUCGUCUGGGACGGUACUGACGCUGAGACGCGAAAGCGUGGGAGCAAACAGGG
rnacentral:rRNA from 1 species